UACGUAGGGUGCAAGCGUUUGUCCGGAAUUAUUGGGCGUAAAGAGCUCGUAGGCGGUUUGUUGCGUCGGCUGUGAAAUCCCGAGGCUCAACCUCGGGUCUGCAGUCGAUACGAGCAAACUAGAGUGUUGCAGGGGAGACUGGAAUUCCUGGUGUAGCGGUGAAAUGCGCAGAUAUCAGGAGGAACACCGGUGGCGAAGGCGGUUCUCUGGGAAUGUACUGACGCUG
rnacentral:rRNA from 1 species